UUUCCUCCAGGUCAGGAUGAAACAGACAACGCUGGGAAAUAUUCUGGAGGAAAUAAGAGACAUCGAGCCCCACACACAUCGGUUCUGUACAACCGAGCAGAGCCAAAUUCACACACAGGCUCUGCCUGGGGCAGGGGAACCCCUCGGCUGCACCCGAGAAGUUCCUGACUCUGGGCAGAGGCUGGGAACCCCAAACUGGACCAGAAAACCUUCCCCCACAGCUUCCAUUGCUGCUUUAAUAGUCCUUAACUGAACUACUCAAAUGGAUUGAAACAAAGAAGAUAUUCACCCUGACUGCAGAAGAGACUGGGGCUCUCAAAAAUUGCUUUCCUGCAUCAGUCACAUCCUGUUCCAUCUGCUUAGCCAAGGCCUUUGGUCAGGCUGGUGGCAUCACCUUCCAAAGCUCAGGAACAGCAAACAUCUCUUUGUGUCAAUUGAAGAGGUGCUGACAAAAUUUCGACAAAAUGUUACUUGAUUAUUUUAAUUUUUUUUAAUAAUGAAUUUUUGGGGAAGAUAUUAAGGAAUAAUAUUGUCCAGCAAAGACAGUAUUUGUAGGGAUUUUCAUGAAAUUCUGGCAUAAUGAAGAAAGGGACUCCUAAUAGUUACCUUUGAUUGCACAGAUUGUUACUUCAAGGUGGAAAGGCUUAUACAUCUCAAUUUUAAAUGAUUAGUUUCAAGACAGAAAAUGCUCUAUGUGAGCACUUGGGCAGCAACAGACAAGAAUUAAUUUCAACUGAUAGGGGAGGAAAUGAUCCCCUUAUCUAAAGUGAAGGGCAGUUGGGCAAAUGGAGUUCAGACAACCACUGGGGAAGGCAGAAAUGGAUAAUAAAUAUAAACCUAUAUAACAGUGCA